ACGGCAGCACAGGAGCAAUCCUGGUGGCGAGUGGCGAACGGGUGAGUAAUAUAUCGGAACGUGCCCAGUCGUGGGGGAUAACGUAGCGAAAGCUACGCUAAUACCGCAUACGAUCUACGGAUGAAAGCGGGGGACUCGCAAGAGCCUCGCGCGAUUGGAGCGGCCGAUAUCAGAUUAGGUUGUUGGUGAGGUAAAAGCUCACCAAGCCUGCGAUCUGUAGCUGGUCUGAGAGGACGACCAGCCACACUGGAACUGAGACACGGUCCAGACUCCUACGGGAGGCAGCAGUGGGGAAUUUUGGACAAUGGACGCAAGUCUGAUCCAGCAAUGCCGCGUGCAGGACGAAGGCCUUCGGGUUGUAAACUGCUUUUGUACGGAACGAAAAGGUCUGCUUUAAUACAGUGGGCUCAUGACGGUACCGUAAGAAUAAGCACCGGCUAACUACGUGCCAGCAGCCGCGGUAAUACGUAGGGUGCGAGCGUUAAUCGGAAUUACUGGGCGUAAAGCGUGCGCAGGCGGUUAUAUAAGUCAGAUGUGAAAUCCCCGGGCUCAACCUGGGACCUGCAUUUGAGACUGUAUAGCUAGAGUACGGUAGAGGGGGAUGGAAUUCCGCGUGUAGCAGUGAAAUGCGUAGAUAUGCGGAGGAACACCGAUGGCGAAGGCAAUCCCCUGGACCUGUACUGACGCUCAUGCACGAAAGCGUGGGGAGCAAACAGGAUUAGAUACCCUGGUAGUCCACGCCCUAAACGAUGUCAACUGGUUGUUGGGUCUUCACUGACUCAGUAACGA
rnacentral:rRNA from 1 species